rnacentral:lncRNA from 1 species
UGUAGGUUCCAAGAGUGGCCUCAGAGUUUGCCUUGCACCUUACCAGGAAUGCUCCCCUGGCCUUCACAACAUUUUCCUCCUUUCCUGACCAGGCCUUGAGAGUGCUCUGCUGAAGUGCACGUCCAAAGGAGAAGGACAGGUUCCAUGGCUUCUUCCCCUUGAGCUUGUUCAUGGCAUUGAGGUUGAGAGUGGCCUCCUCCUCACUCUGCCCCCCAGACAAAAACACAAUAGCAGGAACAGCUGCAGGCACAGUUCGCUGGAGGGUCCGAACAGUGUACUCGGCCACCACCUCUGGGGAAACCUUCUUGGCUUCUGAUCCAGGAGUCACCAUGUUAGGCUUCAACAGAGUUCCCUCAAGCAGAACGUGAUGGUCAUUCAGUGCUUUGUAGCAUGCUGCCAGAACACGUUCAGUUACAUAAGCACACUUUUCAAUAUCAUGAGGGCCAUCCACCAGGAUCUCAGGCUCAACAAUGGGGACAAGGCCAUUCUCCUG